GCCGCAGACAGCAGCCACUCCGAUCGCUCCGAUUAUCCGCCGUCGUCGAUAAGCGCGUCGUUUGUCAUCCGGCCGCAGCGUGUUUUCAACGGAGCCGGACCUGAUCGCAGCCAGUCCGUGAAUCAGAUGAUGAGCGACGGUCCCGUUGUGACGUGAAAAAGAGACGCCAGCAUUGUUCUGAGAUGUAGAGCUUGAUGAACAUUAUCAUCGUUUUAUUUUUGUAUGAGUUCAUUUUUAAAGUCCCUUUUUAUGUAUUUAGAUUAAACUGCAGCACAAUAUCAUCACAUUUUGAUAAUUUUUGUCAUCCACUGGAAUGAGAACACGACUAUGUCAGGCAGCUGAAUUUCCUUCUCUAGAUACUAAAAUGAAAGUAGGGCUGAAACGAUUAAUCGGUUAGUGAAAUGAUCAAUUGUUAACUGAAGUGCACACUCAAAAGGGCGAUUUGCUUCACAGAACAACAUAUCCAGAGUAGCGUUUAAGCCAAACAAAAAUACAUUUUGCAUAUGAGGUAAAAAGAACCUUCUUUGUCUGUAAAUAAUGUUCCAGCCAGAACUCCUCCAGUGGCAUCAUAGUUUUAGCUUCACCCUGUUUAAAUACCGGAAAAUUUCUCCUAUUAAGAAUCAUUUGCUGGCCAUUUAUAAAUCCGUUAAUCCAGGAACAAUAAACAGGUCGGUCCUCCCCUUUAUUGGUAUAAAGGGUUUCACAUGCUGACGCUAAAAGUGUAUUUUGUUGCAUCCUUUGCAACAAAUKAUACACUGGAGGAAUGCAAUAUUAUUGCAUUUUAGGCAACAAAAUGUUUAUUUUUUUAUUUGAGAAAGGAAUUGAAUUAUUUGUUUAUUUGCAUCUUGUGACGCUUUUCGAAAUUUGCGUUUAAAGGCUGAAGUGGAUAAACAAAAGAAGUCGGCAGAAUUUGGCAAAAGUUGUUAUCCAAUUAAUCGAUUAAUUGCUUUAUCACAGAUUAAUCGGAUAAAAGUAAUCUUUACUUGCAGCCCUAAAAUUCACUCUACACAAGCAUUAUGUUAACAAAGACAGGGAUGCUGUGCAGAAUGGAAACCAAACCGCAGGUUUACAUCAGGAAACUUGUCCCGACACAAACCGGACGCUCCUCUUCUGUGGAGUUUGUUGAGACUCCGGUUGCAAAAUAUUCAUGCAUAACUCGGCCUCGGAUGAUGCAUCCCAGAUAUCCGCCAUAUGGCCCCCMCUUUCAUAGUUCUAACAGCCCUUUGGAGUGGAAACAGAGCUUCAAACUCCGGGUAAUGAACAGCCAAAAUCGGUGUGGGGGAUUCGGGGGGGAUGGGUAGAGCUCGAAAACGGCUUUGUGAGAAGAAACAGAUGGUGGGAGGUACAGUAACCAACCCACCUGUGCACAAUGCAGGUAAUUGCUUCCGAAAGAAAAAAGCACGGUGGCAUACGGUGCUUUAAACUCGUUUUUAUUUGCUCAGCACUUUGGACGGCACCUGCAAAAGAGAAAAAAAAUGUUGAAAAAAACCCCCCCCAGAGGAAUCUGUCGGUGGAUGUUUCAGCACCAAGGACAGCGUCAACCGGGUUGGUUUGUUUUCUCCAUCAUCUGCUUCCUUACUGUGACUUACGACACAUUUAACAUGCUUUUGUUUUUGUUUUUUUCCUUAAACUUAUUACAACAGGAAAGGCACUUUUUGAAAACAGGUCCGUCUCUGUUUUGUCCUCUUCAGCCUCGCCCAACAGCUUGAGGGAUUGCUUCAAAGCAGCUCGGAAGCCAAAGCCAAACCUUCAAAAAUAGCUUGGAGGAAGGAGAAAUAAAAUGUUUCUUUUAAUUUCCACCCAAAAGAAAAAAAAAACAGGACAAAGCUUAAAACUCUCAUUUCCUGCUAAAAGUUAGUUCUGCUUAUUUAGCUGGCAGACAUUUUCCGACAUUUAUUAGCUGGGAGACCAUUCAAAAUCAAGCUGGCUGAAAACAAUCCUGAUCAGAUGUCUUGAAUGAGCUUUUAUUCUAUCUUUAACACAAAGAUGUUUUGCAGGGAACAACAUUUGAAUAUACAUUUGUUGGAUUUGGCAGUGGAUUCAGAAUUACAUAAGGGGAUACUGUGAGGGAUGGAAAUGGAAGGACUAAAUCUAGUUUAUUUUUCUUCCUUUGCUCUUUCCUUUGGUUUAUUUUGUUUKUACUUCCUUUUAACUCCUGCAAAAGACUUUGUAUUGCCUUGUUGCUGAAAAUGUGCUAUAUAAAUAAAAUUGCCUUUACCAAAGUAUUUGUAACUUAUUUUAACCCGCAGUGAGCUGCAAUGCCAUGCAACAUUACUUAUUUSCUACUGGAUUUCUCCACAUAUUUUCACAUAUUCUCAAUAAAAAUGUAUUUUUAGUAAGAUUUAAUGUUAGACUGCGUAUUUACAACAUUUCCAACCCAAAGAGUCAUUGUUGWACUCAGUCCAGCUAAAUAUAUAUUUUUAUUUAUUUAUUUGUGGACAAUUAUUUAGGAAAACAAUACAAAAUCAUUUCCAACCAAAAUAUUUUUUUAAAGUAUGUACAUUACUCGUAUUUUUGCUAGCAAUUCUGUUAAAAUAACUGAAAAACCUGCUAAACAUUUUGACGACUGAAUGUUAGGAUCUGUGCAAACCACGUAUGAUUCACGUAAAGCACAGAAGAAUUUAGUGAAACGAGACAAAAAUACAACUUUCUUUUUGUGGCAAAGAAUUGCUGAAAUGCGAGUCUGUAGAUGUGCAACGCUGGCAGAGAGUCUUUCCCCAAACUCAUGCCAGUCACUCGGUGAGGUCAGCCUGUGAGAGGAUCCCUGUAAAUCCUCCCGCUGGUUCGUUUUCAGGCUUUUACAGCGGAAAUUUCACUGCGAUCGACUUUAAUUUGCCAUCUCAGGCUAUUCCAAUCAGCCACUCCUCCGCUUAUGGCGAUUGCUAUUUCUUUUUCUUGUUUUUUUUUUUUAAAGGAACAAAAGGCCCUGAAAAACGCACCACCAUGACAGGAAAUCAAUACGCUUCUACAAAAUGUAAUGUGUAACUUAAAAUGUAUCAAAUCGAACUUCAUAGUUGUAUUUUUUUUUUCUUGAGGUAUUAAGUAAUGUUUGAUGACUUGGCGUCUCUUUUUUCAGUUUCCAUUUGACUGAAGGGUGAGGCCGGACGUCGCACCUUGCCGCACAGGUGAAGCAGUCGUAGCGUAACUGCGGCGCGCCUUGGGGAGCGGGUUGGGAGGCGCCGUGCGUCGUGCGCUGCAUGGCGUGGCCACGGAUUUGCGCGUGGCGCUCGGUUCCCGUCAGACCCAUCGGAAGCUCGGAACGCGGCGCAACCCCGAUUUGAACGCAUUAAAGAAGGGGGGAAAAAAGUAAAACCCGCAGGAGUAUCUCCACUCGUCGGGGUCUUUCGUUUUCAGCCUCCUUCCCCUCAUCGGAGUCGGACUGACUGUCGUUGGUUGACUUUCUCCCCGUGAGGGGGGUUGAAGGAACCGGGGGCGGGGGGUUGUGAGAGAGGGGCGCCAAAAAAAGAAAAAAAAAAUCCCAAAGAGGGAAAGGGAAAAGGUAGCGCGCGCACAAACGGCAACGGGGAAGGGAGACGCGUAAGCGACGUCGGACCUGGCUGGCCGCCUCUUUCGGGUUUCAGGAGCAUUGCGAAGGGGGGAGAGGAGAGGAGGCGAUGCUGCUGGGCGGGGAUGGUGCUCGGUUUCUGCCCGGCGGUGGAGGAGAAGAUGCGAGCUGCUGUUCCGGCGCACCUGCACCGCCGCCGUCGUCGCGUUUUUCGACCGAGAAUUGAUGAUGGUGAUGACGAUGCUGCCUCCAUCAUCCGGAUCCUGUUUGUCUGGGAUUCUUGUUCCCCCAACUCUGGAUUAUAGAUGAUUGUCGUGGACAUUAUCUUUUGAUUUUUUUAUUAUUUUAUUUUAUUAAUUUUAUUUUUUUGUUUUUAUUUCAUCAGCUCGGCUAUUUUUCUUCUUCCUUCCUUGCCCUUCUUCUUCUUUCUUUUACGCAAUGACGAGAUAGACUGGUAGACUUCAGGAUCGGAGUAUUUUCAUCUCCAAGUGCGCGCAAUCACGCCCAAAAAUCAGUGACCGACGCCUUGUAGAAGAAGAGGAGGAGGAACAGGAGGAGGAGGAGGAGGAGGAGGAGGAAGGGGGGAUGCCGCACCGUCCAUUACCAAAUAUCAACAAAUGUCACCAGGCUCGGAUUUUGGGGAAGCCCCCCGUCGGUUGACGUUUUUUGCGUGUACGCGGAAAGCCGCGGCGGCAGUGAAAGGUGGCAGCGGGAGCCACAUCAAACACUGCGGAUAUAUGGAACAAGAAGAAAUGAAUUAUUAAAGAUUUUACUCUUA